rnacentral:rRNA from 1 species
AUUGAACGCUGGCGGCAUGCUUUACACAUGCAAGUCGAACGGUAACAGGCCGCAAGGUGCUGACGAGUGGCGAACGGGUGAGUAAUGCAUCGGAACGUGCCCAGUCGUGGGGGAUAACUACUCGAAAGAGUAGCUAAUACCGCAUACGAUCUAUGGAUGAAAGCGGGGGACCGUAAGGCCUCGCGCGAUUGGAGCGGCCGAUGUCAGAUUAGGUAGUUGGUGGGGUAAAGGCUCACCAAGCCAACGAUCUGUAGCUGGUCUGAGAGGACGACCGGCCACACUGGGACUGAGACACGGCCCAGACUCCUACGGGAGGCAGCAGUGGGGAAUUUUGGACAAUGGGCGCAAGCCUGAUCCAGCAAUGCCACGUGCAGGAAGAAGGCCUUCGGGUUGUAAACUGCUUUUGUACGGAACGAAACGGCUCUGGUUAAUACCCGGGGCUAAUGACGGUACCGUAAGAAUAAGCACCGGCUAACUACGUG